GCGGCCGCCCGCCCCGCGCAGGGAAAAGCCCGACCGGGCCUUCUGCUCCGCAGAGGCCGGGUGGUUGAACUCCGCGCGGGUUUCCUAACCGCUAAAGGUGCCUUUCGGUGGUGGCUGUCUCAGAAGCACGUUAAAAUGUCCUACCCACCCCAAUCUAGAUGCGGCUGUGGGGGAAUGGGAGCGGCCGGACCUCCCAGCCUGACAGUGCAUCAAGAGCUUUGCGGAGCCUACAGCCCGGAUGGGACGACUGAGGCCCUCCCGCUGGCGAGCUGGCCGAGGGCUCGUCCCUCUCCAGCUAAAGCGCCAGCUUACGAUACAGCCAAACUGCCGGCUCUCAUCGGCUGUGGGAGCAGGAGGCCCCCAGGGGUAAAUCCCGGAGCCUCGUCUCUGAAGCCUGGCGCUUGUGUCUCAGAAGAUGGAGUUCCUCUCUUGUGGCCCAGGCUGGAGUGCAAUAGCACCAUCUCGGCUCACUGCAACCUCUGCCUCCCAGGUUCAAGUGAUUCUCCUGCCUUAGCCUCCUGAGUAGCUAGGAUUACAGAUUUAUAGGAGCAUUGUGACUGGACCAAGGACAAAGAAGUUCCCAACCUCCUCAGACCCUCGCUGCUGCCCAGAUGUCUGCCAUGGGGUGGCCAUCAUCGAAUCCACUGAGGGCGCAAAUAGAACAAAAAGGUGAAGAAAAGGUGAAUUCUCUCCUUUCUUGAGCUGGGACAUCCAACUUCUCAGACAUCAGAGCUCCUGGAGGCCUUCAGACUCCGAGACAUUACACCAUUGGCUCACCUGGUCCUCAGGUCUUUGGACUUGGAAUGAAUUACACCAUUGGCUUUCCAGGUCUUCCAGCUUGCAGAUGGCAGAUUGUGGGACUUUUCAGCCUCCAUAACUUUGUCAUCCAAUUCCCAUAAUAAAUCGCCUCUUAUAUCUGUA
ensembl:lncRNA RELA-DT RELA divergent transcript